AGAAGAAGAGAACUGGACGUUAUGAAACAUGGAGACACACAGCUGUUUCUGGAGAGUAUCCCACUGUCGUGUCACGGCAACCCGCUAAUCCCCUUACAUACUUGCCGCCCAGGCCAGACGGAACCCAUCCGUGGCGCUGCUACAUCUGGUGGAACCAAACAGCAGAAUAAUUUUGGCUGACGCUACGAGAGGCACGGGUCAGGGGCCCAGACGCGGGUCUGACGGCCGCCUCUGUCUCGCUGCAGGGAGAAAGGGGGGAGGAGCGGAGGCGGGAUGAGAUGAUCAGUUCAACCCUGUUUGUUUAGAUCUCAGAGCCAAGAAGACUGAAUCGAGGAUACACCCUCCAAGAGAGGAGAUUAUUCAUUCGGCGCGGGGAGGCACAGAUGCUUAUCAGGAGACUUCUGGCUCGCCACACACCUCAUCUGAGGUUGUCUCAGACGCAGGCAGAAAUAGACGCAGACACAGAGGAUCAGGACACACCUGCAGCCCGAGACGGGGAGAGAGGACCUGCUUCAUGUGGGUCCCUCAGGCUGAUGGUUCCCAGAAUGAUCUGACAGGAUGACAGGCCUCAGCAUGACACCAGCCUAAAAUAACCACACAAUGUCUCCACAUGUGUGCUUUAUAGUGUGAUUCUCAUUAGAGGUGUUUGCUAAGGCAAGCGUCACUUUCACUGUCACUUAUAAUUAGUGUUCGGGAUCUGAACAAACCCCUAUUCUACGCAGUUUGUGCUACAUAAAUGAUUCCUCAAAUCAUAAAUCUUGGACUGACAGUGUACAGUAGAUCCGACUAAAGCCUGAUAAAAUCCAGGAGAGAGGGGGAGGGCGGUUCAUCGUGUGUCGGGGUGAGGAAGAGUCAAGCUGUCCGUGAACCUAAUCUGUACCACAGCAUAAUGGGUUUACAGAGGAAUACACAGCCUAAGAGCUUAAAGGCAUGUUAGGAGCGAUCAGAUUGUGCCUUGUUGCUGGGUGUGGACCGAAGUGUUUGUGGAGCAACAGGGCUAACUUCCAUCCCAGAAAAGACAUUGUAAAAGAUGAGCUUGAUGAUUUUAAUCCACACCCUUUCUCACAAAUAUAGCGUACAAAGACCAUGGCAACUUCGUGCAAACCGGACGGCAAGCAGAGAGCAUCAAAGGCACAGUCACGUUUGAUCUCUCUCCUCAGGAAAUACCAAGGAAAAUUGCAGUGCACCCUACACAGUGUCCAUGCACUGUUCCCUAUCCACUUCAGUUUGUCCCCUUUGAAUGUUGUGAAACGUCACAAUGAAAUUUACUGUGAAUAAAUAUAUAUGUGAUAAACGCUA